rnacentral:rRNA from 1 species
UACGAAGGGGGCUAGCGUUACUCGGAUUGACUGGGCGUAAAGGGCGCGUAGGCGGCUUGUACAGUCAGACGUGAAAUUCCUGGGCUCAACCUGGGGGCUGCGUUUGAUACGUAUGGGCUUGAGUUCGGAAGAGGGUCGUGGAAUUCCCAGUGUAGAGGUUGAAAUUCGUAGAGUAUUGGGAAGAACACCGGGUGGCGAAGGCGGCGACCUGGUCCGAUACUGACGGCUGAGGCGCGAAAGCGUGGGGAGCAAACAGG